CAGAAGAAUGGAAAGCUGUGCCUAUUGUCAAAGUUGCCUUGUGGGUUUCGUAUUUACAAGUUGAAGCAUGCUCAACUUUAUAACCAAUAAAAUUCAUAGAGGUGACAGAAGUUGACUUUAAAAAUAUACCGAGCAAUAAUUAUAUACACAAAUGGUGGGUUAGGUAUAUUGAAAUGACAAGUUUGACAAGUUUGUUACAAGCACCUCUUAAUCUUGUUCAAAUUCUACAUAAUCUAGCAUACCAAACAUAACAAAAUAUAUACCCAAUAGAGAAUCAUAGGAAGGCCUUUAUGAGGUUAUUUCGUCAUCAUCUAUUCCUCUAUGUACAGUUUUUAAAUCAACCAAGUGUCGCAUUGUUGGUCUGCCGUGUGGACAAUUCCAAGGAGACUUGAGGACAGCCAAAUGUUCAAGUAUCUGAAACAAUCAAAUACAAGAACUUUGAGCAAUAUGAACCAUGUUUUAUGCUCUGCAAUGAUGAUAAAAAUCACCAAUAGGCAUGCUUAAGUAAUCGCCACACAGAACAAUUAAUUCUAGCGUUCAAAAUAGGGGUGGGGGUGAAUAAAAUAAGAACAAGGUAGAGAGAGGAAUUAAAAAACUAAGCCUCAUUCUCAAUAAUUUGAAAUUAGUUGCCUAAAGAUGAUCUAGGG
rnacentral:lncRNA from 1 species